CAAAUACUCCCUCCGUCCGAAAAUACUUGUCAUCAAAAUAGACAAAAGGGAUGUAUCUAGAACUAAAAUAUAUCUAGAUACAUCCCUUUUUAUUCAUUUUGAUGACAAGUAUUUUCGGACGGAGGGAGUACUAG
rnacentral:pre_miRNA from 1 species